rnacentral:lncRNA from 1 species
GGCUUCAAGCUGUGUGACUCUUGUUGCCAUUCUAUGCCCAGGAGCGACCCUCAUGCUGAGAGUCUUAGCUGCCUGGGUGAGACUAACAUUAGCGACCAUUGCAAGAUCUGCAGGUCGUUCAAGCCAAGGACCAAGAAGGAGAGAGACUUUAGACUUCGAGCUCUCCUGAUGGAGUUGGCACUGGCCCCAACGCUGGUAUGCAGAUCGGACUCAACGCCGGCCGCCGCAUCAUCGGUAUGUAGCGAGGCCCCUUUGAGCAGUUGGCGCCACUCUCCCUCCAAAGGACAUGUCCCUGCUACGAAGGACAUGUCCCUGCCUGUCCCGAGCUCGCAACCAGGUUCGGGCCCCAGGUCUCGAGGCAAGCCUCCUUUAGGUGCCCACCAGACCUCUCCGGCCAGCUGCAGUUCCCACUCUGAGGAUCACUCCCCGCACUGCUCAGCGCACAGCAGCCACUCGUCUGGCAGCUCCCGGCCAUCCUUGACGCCGGCCAGACCGUCCAAGCCGCCGUCGGGAUGGGAGUCGUGGGGACCCUCUACGCCGCUUGCCAGUGAGCGUAGGCACCGAGAGAGACAUCAGGAACGCUCACCUGCAAGGCGUGGGUACUGGAGCCACUCUCGACAGGACAGACGUCGUCGUUCCCGUUCCAGCUCCCGCUCGACUAGACAUCACGCCAGAGGCUCCCCCUGGGAUACCUCGGUGUCAGGGCACCGGGCUUCGCAUCGCUGUCACGGGUACCGAAGCAGUUCAUCGCGUGGUGUCAUAACUAUAAAGGGAAGGGUAACAGCCCUCCUGUGUACAAUACUAUAAAAUCCCUGCUGGCCAGAGACUCCAAAAUCCUUUUACCUGUAAAGGGUUAAGAAGCUCAGGUAACCUGGCUGACAUCUGACCCAAAGGACCAAUAAGGGAACAAGAUACUUUCAAAUCUUGGUGGGGGGAAGGCUCUUGUUUGUGCUCUUUGUUUUUGGGGGGUGUUCGCUCUUGGGACUGAGAGGGACCAGACAUCAAUCCAGGUUCUCCAAAUCUUUCUGAACAAGUCUCUCAUAUUUNNNNNNN